AGAAGAAUGGGAAGAGAUGGCCACCUUAUCCAUCCAACUUUGACAUACCUGCAUAUGAUUCCUAGGAUUUGGCAGCCAUCUUAGAACCAGGAGCAAGGCUGGCCUCUAAGCAAAAGCUGACAUUCCAAAGCUGGAUUGAAGAGCUUGAAUCUCAAGCCAAAAUGGAGCCCUCACGUAAACCGAAGAUCAUCGGCUCCUAAGAAAGGGUAGCUCUGACUGACUUGGGUGCAGGCAGAAAACUGGAACUGAAGAGUGGAGAUCUGGCGCGGCGUGUUGGUUUGCCUACUUCACAGAGACUAGAUGUACAAGAUGCACCAUCAAUUGAGUCUGCUGAUAUGAAACUCAUGGACACAGAGGGCGAAUUGUAUUCAGGUGAGAUCAAUAUAAUUGAUGGAAAAGAGAGGGAGUAAAGUGAAGUAAAGGGAUGUA